rnacentral:rRNA from 1 species
UACGUAGGGGGCAAGCGUUGUCCGGAGUUACUGGGCGUAAAUCGCACGCAGGCGGUCUUUUAAGUUUGGAGUGACAGUUGGUGGCUUAACUGCCAAAGUGCUUCGAAAACUGAGAGACUUGAGGGCUUCAGAGGGACACGGAAUUCCGGGUGGAGUGGUGAAAUGCGUAGAGAUCCGGAGGAACACCAAAGGCGAAGGCAGUGUCCUGGGGAGUACCUGACGCUCAGGUGCGAAAGCCAGGGGAGCGAACGGG